rnacentral:rRNA from 1 species
CCUACGGGAGGCAGUAGUAGGGAAUUUUCCGCAAUGGGCGAAAGCCUGACGGAGCAAUACCGCGUGAGGGAUGACUGCCUAUGGGUUGUAAACCUCUUUUUUCAGGGAGGAAUAAAUGACGUGUACCUGAAGAAUAAGCAUCGGCUAACUCCGUGCCAGCAGCCGCGGUAAGACGGAGGAUGCAAGUGUUAUCCGGAAUCACUGGGCGUAAAGCGUCUGUAGGUGGCUCGACAAGUCAACUGUUAAAUCUUGAAGCUCAACUUCAAAAUCGCAGUCGAAACUAUCGGACUAGAGUAUAGUAGAGGUAAAGGGAAUUUCCAGUGGAGCGGUGAAAUGCGUAGAGAUUGGAAAGAACACCGAUGGCGAAGGCACUUUACUGGGCUAUUACUGACACUCAGAGACGAAAGCUAGGGUAGCAAAUGGGAUUAGAUACCCCAGUAGUCCUAGCCGUAAACAAUGGAUACUAGGUGUUGAACAGAUCGACCUGUGCAGUACCAAAGCUAACGCGUUAAGUAUCCCGCCUGGGAAGUAUGCACGCAAGUGUGAAACUCAAAUGAAUUGACGG